AUUGAACGCUGGCGGCAGGCCUAACACAUGCAAGUCGAGCGAGCGGCGGGCGGGUGAGUAAUGUAUGGGGACUGCCCGCUAGCGGGGGAUAACUACUGUAAACGGUAGCUAAUACCGCAUACUAUCGGAUAACCCAUAUCGGAUGAGCUAGUAGGUGGGGUAAUGGCUCACCUAGGCGACGAUCCCUAGCUGGUCUGAGAGGAUGAUCAGCAAAACUGGGACGGAGAAACGGCCCAGACGCCUACGGAGGCAGCAGGGGGGAAGAUUGGAAAAGGGGGGAAAGCCUGAGGCAGUCAUGCGGGGUGGAUGAAGAAGGCCCUAGGGUUGAAAAGUACUUUCAGGCGGGAGGCGUUACCGACAGAAGAAGCACCGGCUAACUCCGUGCCAGCAGCCGCGGUAAUAC
rnacentral:rRNA from 1 species